rnacentral:rRNA from 1 species
AUACGUAGGGGGCGAGCGUUGUCCGGAAUGAUUGGGCGUAAAGGGCGCGUAGGCGGCCUGUUAAGUCUGGAGUGAAAGUCCUGUUUUCAAGAUGGGAAUUGCUUUGGAUACUGAUGGGCUUGAGUGCAGGAGAGGUUAUCGGAAUUCCCGGUGUAGCGGUGAAAUGCGUAGAGAUCAGGAGGAACACCGGUGGCGAAGGCGGCUUACUGGGCUUUUACUGACGUUGAGGCUCGAAAGCGUGGGGAGCAAACAGGAUUAGAUACCCUGGUAGUCCACGCUGUAAACGAUGAUUACUAGGUGUGGGAGGUAUCGACUCCUUCCGUGCCGGAGUUAACGCAAUAAGUACCCCGCCUGGGGAGUACGGUCGCAAGAUUAAAACUCAAAUGAAUUGACGGGG